rnacentral:lncRNA from 1 species
GACCCAACCAAAGUUUUGCACCAAACAAAGAUAACAAACUGGUUGCAGAACUUGAUAUGAAACUUUCAGCACUUGUGCACAUAAACCAACUAAUCUUUCAGACUUUCUCUCUGAACCUUUCUCAACUUUUUUUUUUCACUUCACUUUUUUUUGCACUUUCUUUUCUUUUUUUUUGACACACUUUUUCUAUAUAUAGAACUAAAACAGGGAUCAGAUUAUGAUAAUUGCACAACUAAAGGCAGAAAUAAAACAACAACCAGUAGCUAGAUAGGAUCAAAGUUAACACAAAUGAUGAUAUAGGCUAUAGAGUUUUUUUGUGGGGAUUUUUAGAUAUAAAAGAGGCACAAAGAACACGCGAAGGAUAAAUCAUCAGCAACUAAAACAAAGACUCUAAUGGACUGUGACUUAACAGAACUCACUAAAAUAACAGAUUGAAACAGAGGUCUAAGCAAUAUAUUUUUCUGGCUUUUUGGUGGAUAGGACGAAGCAAAAUAUAUAUGUAGCUAGGGAUAAAAUUCCUACCGUGGUAACGAAAGCUUUGAUACCAGAUGAUGCGACACAUUGUCCCGAUCUUCACGACGUAGGAUGAACACCGAUAACUAGCUGAAGAACAGCUGGAUAACUUGCUGCAAGCAGCGAUAACUAGUGCAACAUGGCAAAUAAAACUCGAAGCCAACCACCGUUUUUAACCGGCAACCUGAAUCAAGGAUUCGCGCAACCACACUCUCAAGGAACCAACCAACACAGCCUACAAUCAAUCAAGGAAUACUUUGAAGGGUGUAGGAGCACCAAUUGGGAGCAGAUGAAGCCGCCGCCUAUCUAAUCCCACGAAGAAAUCACAAGAGCAAAGGGGUAGAGAUCACUCUCUGAAUUUGUUAGCACAUAGCUGAACAAAGGGGUUCUGUAUUUCAAUUAUCAAAAGUCUAGGAUUACAUUGAGUCUUAGGGGGUAUUUAUACU